rnacentral:rRNA from 1 species
UACAGAGGUCCCAAGCGUUGUUCGGAUUCACUGGGCGUAAAGGGUGCGUAGGUGGCUUGGUAAGUUUGAUGUGAAAUCUCCGGGCUUAACCCGGAAAUGGCAUUGAAUACUAUUGAGCUGGAGGUUUGGAGGGGGGACUGGAAUUCUCGGUGUAGCAGUGAAAUGCGUAGAUAUCGAGAGGAACACCAGUGGCGAAGGCGGGUCUCUGGACAGUUCCUGACACUGAGGCACGAAGGCCAGGGGAGCAAACGGG